rnacentral:rRNA from 1 species
UACGUAGGGUGCAAGCGUUGUCCGGAAUUAUUGGGCGUAAAGAGCUCGUAGGCGGCUUGUCGCGUCGGCUGUGAAAACCUGGGGCUCAACCCCGGGCCUGCAGCCGAUACGGGCAAGCUAGAAUUCGGUAGGGGAGACUGGAAUUCCUGGUGUAGCGGUGAAAUGACGCAGAUAUCAGGAGGAACACCGGUGGCGAAGGCGGGUCUCUGGGCCGAUAUUGACGCUGAGGAGCGAAAGCGUGGGGAGCGAACAGG